rnacentral:rRNA from 1 species
AUUGAACGCUGGCGGCAGGCCUAACACAUGCAAGUCGAGCGGAUGAAGGGAGCUUGCUCCUGGAUUCAGCGGCGGACGGGUGAGUAAUGCCUAGGAAUCUGCCUGGUAGUGGGGGAUAACGUCCGGAAACGGGCGCUAAUACCGCAUACGUCCUGAGGGAGAAAGUGGGGGAUCUUCGGACCUCACGCUAUCAGAUGAGCCUAGGUCGGAUUAGCUAGUUGGUGGGGUAAAGGCCUACCAAGGCGACGAUCCGUAACUGGUCUGAGAGGAUGAUCAGUCACACUGGAACUGAGACACGGUCCAGACUCCGACGGGAGGCAGCAGUGGGGAAGAUUGGACAAUGGGCGAAAGCCUGAUCCAGCCAUGCCGCGUGUGUGAAGAAGGGCUUCGGAUUGUAAAGCACUUUAAGUUGGGAGGAAGGGCAGUAAGUGAAUACCUUGCUGUUUUGACGUUACCAACAGAAUAAGCACCGGCUAACUUCGU